CAUGUCUUACAUUUAAAUCUUGAAUUCACUUUUAGUUGACCUUGUAUGUGGAGUGAGGUAAGGGUCUACUUUCCUUCUUCUGCAUAUAAAUAUCCAGUUUUUCUAGUGCCAUUUAUUGAAGAAACUGUCCUUUCCCCAUUAUGUAAUUUGGGCACCCUUGUUGAAGACCAACUGUCCAUAUAUGUAUGGGUUUAUUUCUGGGUUCUCUACUAUGUUUCAUUGGUCUAUAUGUCUGUUUUUAUGCAAGUAUCUUACUGCUCUCAUUACUGUUUUAUAGUUCUCAGUGUGUCCAGAUUUUUCACCUCCUUGAUUAAAUGUCUUCUUAGGUAUUUUAUUGAUUUUAUGCUAUUGUAAAUGGGAUUGUUUUCUUAAUUUCUUUUUCAUAUAGUUCAUUGUUAGUGUACAGAAACACAACUGACUUUUGUAUGUUGACUUUGUAUCCUGCUACUUUACUGAAUUUGUUUAUCAGAUUUUUUGUGGAGUCGUUAGGGCUUUCUAUAUAAAAGAUCAGAUCAUCUGUGAACAGAGACUAUUUGACUUCUCCCUUUUGUGAUCUGAAUCCCUUUUAUUCCUUUUUCUUGCCUAAUUGCUCUGGCUAGGACCUCCUGUACUAUGUUGAAUUUCUGAUCUUAGAGGAAAAGCUUUCAUUUCUUCGCUGUUUAUGAUGUUAGCUAUGGGCUUGUCAUAUAUGCCUUUAGUAUAUUGAGGAACAUUUCUUUGAUACCUAUCUCGUUGAGAAUUCUUAUGAAAGGAGUUAAUUUUGUCAAAUGUUCUUUCUGCAUCUAUGGAGAUGAUCAGAUAAUAUUUAUCCCUCAUCCUGUUAAUGUGGUAUGUCACAUUUAUUGAUUUGCAUAUGUUGAAUUAUUCUUGCAUCACAGGGAGAAAUCUCACUUGAUCCUGAUGUAUGAUCCUUUUAAUAUGCUAUGAAUUUGGUUUGCUGGUAUUUUGUUGUGGGAAAAUAUAAUGUUAUAUGCAUAGUUGCCUCCAACCUAAGCCAGUGCCUGAUAAAUGAAAGGCUUUGCACUCUUAAUUGAACAAAUUCCUUGGUUCCAGUACUUUACUGUUCAUUGAAAGCCAGGAAGUACUGGGACAAAGAAAUUAUUAGAGUUGAUAAUAAAAGAGUAAACAGCAUACUCAUUAUUAGCAGCGUACUUUCUCAUUUUCCCUCCCUGAUAGGACUUUAACUCUCUUCUAUAUAUUUCAGCCCUAAUGUACUUAUCAUAUAGUCUUUAGGAACAAGAGAAAAGACCAAGUAGAAUAUGUACAAAACUAAAAUAAAUACAGAGACAUUUCUUUUUGUUUUAUUAGGAAAAGUUAGGAGGAUGAGAAACAGUGAAAUCUAAGAUAUUGUUCCUACAAUAUUUUGCUAUGUGUAUGGUAUGGAUGAAUAAAGUGAAAUAUCCUUUAUAAUUAUCUAAAAAGUAUGUGAAAGUGAAUAGAUGAUGCUGAAACUAAAAAAUUUUAUUCUAGAUCAGUGCUUCUCAAACAUUAAUGUGCAUACGAAUCACCUGAGGAGUUUUCCAAGCACAUUUCGAUUCAGCAGGUCUGGGCUGGAGACUGAGAUUCCACAAUCACAAAGAGCUCCCAGGGAGUACUGAUACUGCUGGUCUGCAUAUCACACUUGGAGUAGAAAGGUUCUAGAUUACAUAGACCGUCAUCUUCAUGCACCAGACUUAUUUCCUAGUCUGGGUUCCUCUGGAAAUAUUUCCAGUGCACCAAUCAGUUUGAUGGAGUUGGAUAAAGAGGGAGACUCAAGAUUUACUUCACUUGAAAAGAAUAUUUAUUUUCCAUUUAAGGCUAAUGGACUAAUGGACUAAAUAUUACACAUCUCAGCCCUUGGGAUAUCUGUGAUAAUAUUUUUCUUUUCCUACCAAUGUGCUUUUACUCUAUACUUCUGCUCUGCUGGGUGGCCAAUGGGACCUUGUCUGUUUACCAAGCCUAGUUCUCAGGUCUACUUUCCUUCGAUAUCUUUUCUUUCUUCCAACCUUCCAAUCCAAACUGAGGUGGUGGUAUUCCCCACCACCAAGAAAGGCAUAGUUUCCAUUUUUUCUCUACCAGUUCUAGUACAUGCAAUUAAAUUUUCUGAGCCCAAAAUUUCUCAUCUCUGAAAUAAGGAGCAUGAAACUCUGUGCGUGGGUGCAUAUGAAGCUAAUGAAAUGGCACAUAAAGUGUCUAACACAAAGAAGGAACCAAAUAAAUAUCAGAUUCUAUCCCUAUCCCACUUUUAUUUUGUCCCAUUCCAAUGUGGCUUUGCAUAAUUGGAAAUCAUUAUGUAUAGACAUCAGGUAAAAUCUAGCACCAGCUUAUAUAGUACUCUAAGACCAUCAGGUUUUUUUUUUUUUUACCUCGUCUUCAGUUUUAAUUUAAAGCAAUUAAAAUUAAUAUAUUCAGAUUUCAACAAAGUGUAAGCAUCCCUCUGCUGAACCACUGUAUCAUUACAGUGUGCGUUAAGAAUGCCAAUAGGCAUGGAACAGAUGCCAGAUAACCAAGAUGGUACUUUUACUGGGUCUGGCAUUAAACAAAGAAAUGUGUUCAUAAGUCAUCUUUCUUGGAUCUCAACCAAAAAUUGUUAUUUUGGAUUUUGUCAUCUUUCCAUUUAAAUUUCUACUUAAUCCUUCAUUAGAGUAUGUGUUAACAAUCUUAAUUUGUGUGAUUGCCUUCAUGAAAAGUUGGAUAUAUAAAAUAAAUGUCACUUUUAAGGCAUCU
rnacentral:lncRNA from 10 species